rnacentral:rRNA from 1 species
AUGUAUGUUAUUUGCAAGUUUUCAGAUUUCAAGAAACAACUAGUCAGAGAAAUAGGAUUCGACGGGUUGCUUCAGAUCAAGUCAUGGCAAAAGAUAAAUCUUAAGUACAGCGCUUACCUCAUGGAUAGAGUAGAUGUUGACAACAGCGUGGUCAACCUAGAAGGCCAGGGCAUGCUUGAGCUUACAGACGAGUCGGUUCACUCUGUUUUUGCAAUACCACGCGGUGAGCUAGCAAUUGGUCCAGAAGGUGUCGAACCGUCUGAAGCUUGCAUUGAGUAUACACGUUUCGCAGCUAGCAUCAAUGACAAAGGUACACACAGCUUGAAGGCAGCAGAGGCAUACCUAAUGCGGGACAUCACCGCCAACUCUAGAAAAAUUGACAUGGAUUGUUUCAAAAUUGCAUUUGUCAUCUUUGUAAUUGGCCAUGUGUUUGUGCUUGACAGCCUCGAGCUUGGCCAGCUGAACAAACCACGCGGAAUCUACCCAAGGAUAGCGCUUUUUGAGCACGAGUCGAUGAAGAAGAUGAUUGAUAUCACAUCCGUAAACAUGGGUGGAAAUAUCAUUUCACGGGGCAUCGGUCAAGGCUGA